rnacentral:rRNA from 1 species
AGUGAACGCUGGCGGUAGGCCUAACACAUGCAAGUCGAACGGCAGCACAGUAAGAGCUUGCUCUUACGGGUAGCGAGUGGCGGACGGGUGAGGAAUACAUCGGAAUCUACUUUUUCGUGGGGGAUAACGUAGGGAAACUUACGCUAAUACCGCAUACGACCUACGGGUUAAAGCAGGGGAUCUUCGGACCUUGCGCGAUUGAAUGAGCCGAUGUCGGAUUAGCUAGUUGGCGGGGUAAAGGCCCACCAAGGCGACGAUCCGUAGCUGGUCUGAGAGGAUGAUCAGCCACACUGGAACUGAGACACGGUCCAGACUCCUACGGGAGGCAGCAGUGGGGAAUAUUGGACAAUGGGCGGAAGCCUGAUCCAGCCAUACCGCGUGGGUGAUGAAGGCCUUCGGGUUGUAAAGCCCUUUUGUUAGGAAAGAAAAGAAGCAGAUUAAUACACGGCUGUUCUGACGGUACCCAAAGAAUAAGCACCGGCUAACUUCGUG